UAUAAAGAGGUUCUUAGCCUAACCCUCUCUAAAAAACUAAGGACGA
rnacentral:ncRNA from 2 species